rnacentral:rRNA from 1 species
AACCUCCGCAAUGUGAGMAAUCGCGACGGGGGGACCCCAAGUGCCAUUCUUAACGGGAUGGCUUUUCUUGAGUGUAAAAAGCUCUUGGAAUAAGAGCUGGGCAAGACCGGUGCCAGCCGCCGCGGUAACACCGGCAGCUCUAGUGGUAGCCAUUUUUAUUGGGCCUAAAGCGUUCGUAGCCGGUUUAAUAAGUCUCUGGUGAAAUCCUAYAGCUUAACUGUGGGAAUUGCUGGAGAUACUAUUAGACUUGAGGUCGGGAGAGGUUAGAGGUACUCCCAGGGUAGGGGUGAAACCCUGUAAUCCAA